rnacentral:rRNA from 1 species
GACAGAGGGUGCAAACGUUGUUCGGAAUUACUGGGCGUAAAGCGCGUUGUAGGCGGCUAAGUAAGUCGGGCGUGAAAUCCCACGGCUCAACCGUGGAAGUGCACUCGAAACUGCAUAGCUAGAGUCCUGGAGAGGAAGGUGGAAUGCUUGGUGUAGAGGUGAAAUUCGUAGAUAUCAAGCGGAACACCGGUGGCGAAGGCGGCCUUCUGGACAGUGACUGACGCUGAGACGCGAAAGCGUGGGGAGCAAACAGGG